GGGGUUGUGGCUCAGUGGUAGAGCGCUUGCCUCCCAUGUGUGGGGCCUUGGGUUUGAUCCUCAGCAUCCCA
rnacentral:tRNA from 1 species